GGGCCGAGGGAGAGAGACGGCACGAAGCGAGCGGCAGCGCCGGUGUGGGGGAAGGAAGAAGUGGGAGAUGGGGGUCGGAGGAUAGAACUUGGGAAUAUGUGACUCUCCAAAAGACUCCCAAAACAGUUAUUGGAUGUAAACAGCACAGCUGACUAAGAGGCUAACUGGAGAUCAUGGUGCCUUCCAAGGCAGACUCAUUUCAGGUCCAACAUGGGAUCAUGUUGCUGGUUGUCCAAAAGAUAAGUCAGGGUCCACAGCCUUGAGAUCGGAUGAUAGUAGGAUACUAGGUUGGAGAUUCCUGGGACAGGUUUAAAAACUGGUAGAGGGGAAUGGGAUGUCCUUUAAGGGGCCUCUUAGGACAUCUAAAGGGAGCAGCUCUGCUUUUGAUUGCUGGUGAAGGGUGUGCAGAGCAGUUCUAGUCUGUCCUGUCCAGUUUGUGUGGUGUUGCCUGGUGUGCCAAAGUGUCUAGUGUG